GUACCAGAAGAGCAAGGAUGGAUGUGGGGUUGAGUUGAUUUAUUCCAAAUUUUCUUUUUAUUUGUAAAGCGUUCAUACUCUCAUAUCCUUCACCCAGAUUUCCCUAAUGUUUACAUCUUAUAUAACCUCGGGACACUGAUUUAAACUCAGAAAUUAGCUAUUAUAUAAAUUAGAGACUUCAUUCAGGUGUUACCAGUUGUUUCUGUUCAGGGUUCAAUCUAGAAUACAACACAGUUUAUAGAUUUUUGUUAUUACUGAACAUGCUAUAUUUAAGCAUUUGCAAGGCAACUCGAGACAAACACGUAUCAGAAAAAGAAAUCUAAGACACAGUCUUUCAGUAGGGCUCUGAGGGUGGCAGAGUAUGAUACUAUAAUAUGGAGACAGAGGAUGGUGUUUGGGGAUAGUUGAAUAGGAAGAAUGAUCAUUUUCUUUCCUUUUUUUUUUUUUUUUUUUUUUUGCAGUGCUGGGGAUUGAACCCAGGACUUCACACCUAUGAAAUAAGUGCUCUACUACCAAGCUAUACCUGAAUAAUCCUUUUGAAAGGGAUGAAGAAGAAGUGUUGGUGUUGAGAUUCUAGCAGCUUAUUAUUAGACUGCUAAUGUGAUCUUUUGGUAUCGGUUUCUCAAGUCACCUUACUGCAAGAGGCUGUGAAGCAUGUUUUGAUGGCCUAGCCCAAGCCCAAGACGCCCCAACUCAUCAUCUGAAGAACUUUUGAAGUUGACCUGACGGUAUUACUUCUAGUUCCACAAGUUCUUCAUUUUUUGUUUGUUUGUUCUUAAAGAACUAAAUCUAGAUGUUUUCCACCCUGUGAAAUGGACCUCCCACCUGGAAUAUGAGUGACAGACCUAAUAUCUAAGAUAUGAGAAAACUUUAUACUUAUUAUUUAAGUAUUCAAGGUUAAAACCUUGGCAACACAAUAAAUGAAUUAAAUGGGCUGCUGUUAAGAAAACCAGAGCAGUCUCAUACACCAAGUAGCACUGGGUUUGGGAAGACACCAGAAGUGGCAGAGGAAAUCGAAAAGCCUCUUAUCUCAAGCUGAUGGCUGCUCCACAAGAAUGUACAAUUAGAGCUUUUGAUUUCCUAAGAGAAACGAGAAAGCUUCAUUUUGUGCAUGAAUAAAAACUCCUAAUUGUUCAAAUGGUGGCAACUAUUUUAUCAUCUCAGAGUUGUAGGGGCCAUUCUUGUGAGGCCAAACAAAGCACAUGUACUGGCCAAAGGUGGCCCUGAGGUACCUGUUUGUGACCUCAGAUUUAUAUCCUACUGUUAACAUGCUCAGGAGAGCACAGUUCAAGCUCUUUUUAGUGUCCCUUCCAAAGAUGUCCCCAGUGGCUGCCCAUCUGGAUGUGUCCUGACAAUGCUAAGUACAUCAAGAUUUUCCAGAGUUCUUCAUGCACCUUCAUGUGUGAGCACGGUAAAUAAUUCUCAUGAGAUGUUAACUAGGCCUUGAACUAAUUCAGAAAGGUCGCCAUCUGGGAGUCUUCAGAAACAGUGAACUGUCAGCACCGUAAACAUUUUAGGCUUCAUGGAGGACACUGACUUCUUCUAAACUAAUCACUCCUGCCAGUCAAGCUUUGUAGAAUAGGUUUAAGAACAAGGCAUCCAUUUAACAACAAUAACAAAAACAGUGAGGAUGAAAACUGGACAGUCAUAAUAAUGAAAAGCCUAAAAGCAAACUGUGACUUCCCUAAUAAGGUGACGACCAAAGCUGGCUCCCUGGUGGUGGAGCGCCAAUACAAUUAAUCAGUCUGUUUUCAGUUUUCUCACGACAGCAAUAUUAACAGUUUGCUCUCUUCUGUUUAUAUGGUGCUGACAGGUCUUCAGCAUGUUAGGCCUACUUGCUGGAGAUUAAUGGCCACUCUUAUACUGAGGUAAAAGUAGGCAGGGAGAGAAUGCCUUUUAUGACUAGAUAAGAACUGAAUUCUCUUGGGGUUUUUUUGCUUCUCUAUUGCCUAUCAAUUCGAGUCUUCUAAUCUCUAUCAGGGAUAUAUAAGACUAGUCAUGACUACAAGGUUCCUCUCACUUGUUAAGCUCCUCUCACUUGACAUGUUACAUCAUCAGGUGAAAUAAAAGGAACUUUAAACUGAUUUUGGGUAAGUUUAUCAUCUCUAGGUAUUGUUGCCUCAUUUAGUUUUUUUAAAAAAACCUCAUUCCUAAUAAAAGUGAAAGAAAUAGAGUGCAGUGGCCUCUGACAACAGGAAUUGUAGCAUAUUAGGUAGGAAUGGAUUGCUUUUUUUAUGGACACAGGAGAAGGCAGAGUUGUUAUAAAGGACAGCAUGCUGCAGGAAGUAUGGGCACCUUAGAAAAAUCUCUUAGAAAUUAUUCCACUUAAUAAUCAUAUUUCAACCUAAGUCAAAAAGAUUUGAAAUAAUACAAGAAGACUAGUCACUCUCCACUCACUAUCUACUCUGUUUAAAGCUAAAGGAAUGAUGUUUAUUAAUACAUAUUUUUCUCUCUCCCAGGUUAGAGAGAAAAAUGAUAACUCCAAAUAUUUUAACAGCAUCUAAGUACAGGGAAUCUAAAG